GGGGGCGUAAGGGUCUCGACAGGGCCAAGAGGAGUUGAAGAGGCGAGCCGAGGUCUCCACCGGGGCUACGUAAAAAAGGUGGAGCAACGACAAACGCCGACGCUCAGUUGGCACUCGCUGCGUAAUUCGCACGCAGCACGCCCCUGGGCAGACCGCCUGCUAUGCCCAGGUCGGCGCCAGAUAGCGGGCUGGUUUCCGGGAGUCCUCAGGUACCGGAAAUGAGAACUCACUGAGGAAGCGUAUGGUUCAUCCGGCCUCAGGGAGGGACCGUGCGCUCAAGGAAAACUGAGGCUACGCUCGUAGGCUCUUCACUCUGUCGGGUUCUGGACGUGGGUUCGACUCCCACCGCCUCCACCA
rnacentral:tmRNA from 1 species